rnacentral:rRNA from 1 species
CUCAAAGGAAUUGACGGGGGCCCGCACAAGCGGCGGAGCAUGUUGCUUAAUUCGACGCGACGCGAAGAACCUUACCAAGGUUUGACAUGCAGGGAAAAGCCGUAGAGAUACGGUGUCCGUAAGGGUCCUGCACAGGUGGUGCAUGGCUGUCGUCAGCUCGUGUCGUGAGAUGUUGGGUUAAGUCCCGCAACGAGCGCAACCCUCGUCCUAUGUUGCCAGCGGAUUAUGCCGGGGACUCAUAGGAGACUGCCGGGGUCAACUCGGAGGAAGGUGGGGAUGACGUCAAGUCAUCAUGCCCCUUAUGUCUUGGGCUGCAAACAUGCUACAAUGGCCGGUACAGAGGGCUGCGAGACCGCAAGGUGGAGCGAAUCUCAAAAAGCCGGUCUCAGUUCGGAUUGGGGUCUGCAACUCGACCCCAUGAAGUCGGAGUCGCUAGUAAUCGCAGAUCAGCAACGCUGCGGUGAAUACGUUCCCGGGCCUUGUACUCACCGCCCGUC